rnacentral:rRNA from 1 species
UACGGGAGGCAGCAGUGAGGAAUAUUGGACAAUGGGCGCAAGCCUGAUCCAGCCAUGCCGCGUGCAGGAUGACGGUCCUAUGGAUUGUAAACUGCUUUUAUACGAGAAGAAACACUGCUUCGUGAAGCAGCUUGACGGUAUCGUAAGAAUAAGGAUCGGCUAACUCCGUGCCAGCAGCCGCGGUAAUACGGAGGAUCCAAGCGUUAUCCGGAAUCAUUGGGUUUAAAGGGUCCGUAGGCGGUUUAAUAAGUCAGUGGUGAAAGCCCAUCGCUCAACGGUGGAACGGCCAUUGAUACUGUUAAACUUGAAUUAUUAGGAAGUAACUAGAAUAUGUAGUGUAGCGGUGAAAUGCUUAGAGAUUACAUGGAAUACCAAUUGCGAAGGCAGGUUACUACUAAUGGAUUGACGCUGAUGGACGAAAGCGUGGGUAGCGAACAGGAUUAGAUACCCUGGUAGUCCACGCCGUAAACGAUGGAUACUAGCUGUUGGAAGCAAUUUCAGUGGCUAAGCGAAAGUGAUAAGUAUCCCACCUGGGGAGUACGUUCGCAAGAAUGAAACUCAAAGGAAUUGACGGGGGCCCGCACAAGCGGUGGAGCAUGUGGUUUAAUUCGAUGAUACGCGAGGAACCUUACCAAGGCUUAAAUGUAGUUUGACCGGUUUGGAAACAGAUCUUUCGCAAGACAAAUUACAAGGUGCUGCAUGGUUGUCGUCAGCUCGUGCCGUGAGGUGUCAGGUUAAGUCCUAUAACGAGCGCAACCCCUGUUGUUAGUUGCCAGCGAGUCAUGUCGGGAACUCUAACAAGACUGCCAGUGCAAACUGUGAGGAAGGUGGGGAUGACGU